rnacentral:rRNA from 1 species
UUUAAGGUCUAAUCUGCCCAAUGAGGGUUUAAAUGGCCGCGGUAUUUUGACCGUGCAAAGGUAGCAUAAUAAUUAGUUUUUUAAUUGAAAGCUGGAAUGAAUGAUUGAACGAGAAAAUAGCUGUCUCAGUUUAAUUUAAUUAGAAUUUUAUUUUUAAGUAAAAAAGCUUAAAUUUUUUUAAAAGACGAGAAGACCCUAUAGAGUUUAAUAAUUUAAUUUGAAUUAAUUUUUUAGAAUGUUUAUAUUUAUUUUAAUUAAGUUAUUUUGUUGGGGUGAUAGAAAAAUUGAACAAACUUUUUUUUUGUUAUUUCAUUUAUUUAUGUUUUUUUGAUCCAUUUUUUAUGAUUAUAAGAUUAAAUUACCUUAGGGAUAACAGCGUAAUUAUUUUUUAGAGUUCUAAUCGAAAGAGUGGAUUGCGACCUCGAUGUUGGAUUAAAAUAUAUAUUUGGUGUAGAAGCUAAAUUAUUAGGUCUGUUCGACCUUUAAAAUUUUACAUGAUCUGAGUUUAAACCGGUGUGAGCCAGGUUGGUUUCUAUCUUUAAUAAUUUAAUAUGUUUUAGUACGAAAGGACCAAAUAUUUAAUAGAGUAUUUUUUGUUUGAUUUAUAUUAA